rnacentral:rRNA from 1 species
UGGGGAAUCUUGCACAAUGGGGGAAACCCUGAUGCAGCGACGCCGCGUGAGCGAUGAAGCCCUUCGGGGUGUAAAGCUCUUUCGGCAGGGAAGAUUAUGACGGUACCUGCAGAAGCAGCUGCGGCUAACUACGUGCCAGCAGCCGCGGUAAUACGUAGGCAGCAAGCGUUGUUCGGAGUUACUGGGCGUAAAGGGUGCGUAGGCGGUCCUGUAAGUAUGGUGUGAAAUCUCCCGGCUUAACUGGGAGGGUGCGCUAUAGACUGCGGGACUAGAGGGUGGGAGAGGAAAGUGGAAUUCCUGGUGUAGCGGUGAAAUGCGUAGAUAUCAGGAGGAACACCGGUGGUGUAAACGGCUUUCUGGACCAUUUCUGACGCUGAGGCACGAAAGCGUGGGUAGCAAACAGGAUUAGAUACCCGCGUAGUCC